GGGGAUAUAGCUCAGUGGCACAGCACCUGCCUAACAAGCACAAGGUCUUGAGUUCGAUUCACAGUACCCCCA
rnacentral:tRNA from 1 species